AUUUGAGAAAGUACUUCAACAGAUCCUUAAAUCUUUCCCAUGCAUCAUAUAAAGUCUCCAACUCAAUUUGAGAAAAAGAAGAGAUGUCGUUUCUCAACUU
rnacentral:snoRNA from 1 species